GAUGAACGCUGGCGGCGUGCUUAACACAUGCAAGUCGAACGGAAAGGCCUCUGCUUGCAGGGGUACUCGAGUGGCGAACGGGUGAGUAACACGUGGGUGAUCUGCCCUGCACUUCGGGAUAAGCCUGGGAAACUGGGUCUAAUACCGGAUAGGACAAUGGUUUGGAUGCUGUUGUGGAAAGUUUUUCGGUGUGGGAUGAGCUCGCGGCCUAUCAGCUUGUUGGUGGGGUAAUGGCCUACCAAGGCGUCGACGGGUAGCCGGCCGGAGAGGGUGUACGGCCACAUUGGGACUGAGAUACGGCCCAGACUCCUACGGGGGGCAGCAGUGGGGAAUAUUGCACAAUGGGCGCAAGCCUGAUGCAGCGACGCCGCGUGGGGGAUGACGGCCUUCGGGUUGUAAACUCCUUUCGCUAGGGACGAAGCGUUUUUGUGACGGUACCUGGAGAAGAAGCACCGGCUAACUACGUG
rnacentral:rRNA from 1 species